CCCAUUAUACUGCUCUAAUCAGAGCUACUGCAUACCUGAUCUUGACCAUGUACUAACCUGCACCAGAACAUUUUUAAAGAAAAUAAAUAGUAAAGAAUAUCAGAGAUUCAGUCAGGAAAUAUCAGAAGGAGAAGAGAUUAUGUUGCGUUCAUCAAUCACAUCCCGAGCUAAGAAAAGUGCAAUAUUUGAAGCAUCCAUUAUCCAAAUCAAGAAAUGUUCAGAAAGUAUAAAAUCAAAAAUAAAAAAUGUAAUGAAUAACCAAUUCCAAACCUGGUUUAUUCAUAUAACAGAAAAACAGAAAUUCAGUUUUCGGUUCAGUAGGAAAUGCAGAGGAAAAAUAAAGGGUAUCAGAUAUUUCACAGGAAAAAUAUAUCAGAAAAUGAGGAAACAGUUUUACAGUUCAGCAGUUUCCAACAGAAUUCAUGAAAGUGUUAACAGAUUGCUAACUGAAUCGAAAACCUGUGUAACCAACUCUCAUCUCACCAUUCAUUCACUAACUGAGUCUCUCAAAACCAAGGGUUCAGAUUAA